UUCCGAAAUAUUAUUCCAUUCAUAAUGUAUAUACUGAAUGCAUAUAGACAAACUUAUCAAUAAUGUGUUCAUAUAUAUAUUUGUAAAAUAACAAAAGAAAGGAUUAACAUUCCAUUUGUACUGUAUCAUUUACACACCCUUUGGGAAGAAAACAAAUUAACAUCAUUUGCAAAUAAAAUAAAUUGUUGUCUAUAGUUCUGGGCAAAUAAUAAUUAGCUUGUCAACUUGAAUUCUCCAAAAUCUACAUCUUCACUUGUAAACUGAAGUCUUCAAGACCUAUGACAAGUAUGAAAUGAAUUCACUUCAGAAAAACUAUAAUAAUCAACCAGAAAGUUUGAGUAACUAAUUGCGAGACCUACAUUAUUUCAUAAACUAAUUACAAUAUAACAAUACUUUGGUCAUAUAAGAAACUUGCAUUAUGAAAUAAAACACAAAAUAGCCAUCUCGGCAACUAAAACACUGUAAGAGACUCAAAAAGUGCAUUUGUUUUAUCAAUGACAAGGAGAACUACAUCUUAUUAUAUACAAAUAGGUUCCAUAGGCUUAGAGGGAGACAAACAGAUAAUUAUUUACCAUAUUACACCUCAAGUUGUAAGUGCCACGCAACCUAAGAAACAAAGAUUAAGUUCAACAUUAGCAUUAAUGAGAAUCAUCCAAAGUCCAUAAUAUAGCGUUAAUGAGAAUCAGCCCUCAUUAUUUAAUACAUAUAAAGAUAGGAUGCAAAUUAUAAGAUCGAAUAACAUUAUGUUAUAUAAACUACUAACAAACAAAUUGCACUUUUAAAGUACAUCUUCCUUUAGAGAAUAUCUGGCACAUAAAUGUUUAAGAAAAAAAUCAAAAUCAGUGCCUUAUAACUUUUCCCAUUAUCAUAAUCAGAUUUUGGGUUCUGCUAUAAACAAGAAAUUGUGAGGGGUUUAUGUUCUUAUCAGUUCAAUGUAGAAAAUUUCCGGAUCACGUAACACAGAUCAGGGUAAAUCUACUGAUGCAAAAAUAAAAAAUAAACUAUUGACAAUGAUCCUAUACUUGAACCUAAAACUUGUUGUCCUUGCAAUUAGCCUUUAACUUGUGAGAAAAUAUUUAGCAAUUCCUUAAUGAUCAAUGCACACACACAUAGAUAUUUUUUUUGUAAAAGAAACAUAAUUUUUACAAGAAUUUGUGAAAGAAAUUUCUGGACCUGCUGUCUAACUCUCUCAAGUUUCAGCUCAAGUUGUGCUAACUUCAAAUGGCAUUGUUUUCAACUACUGAACUUACUCCUAGAAAGAGAAGGGAAGAGAAUCAAGAAAAGGAAUUUAUCUUCCAUAUAAUUGAAUUUUAAAAAGCAAAAUUUCUUGUACCUUUUUCCGCAUACGGCUUUCACACAGUGAGCUUUGAUAUUGCUGCUAAACACAAAAGUGAGAGAUAAAGAGGAAAUGGCUUUGGGUAUGCACGCCUUGUCGGGAAUACUCUAUUUGUUGAUAAUCCCAUAUCAGAGGGUAUAAAUUGUUCAUAAAAGUAAAAAGAGUACAUAACCAGAUGAGUGUUUGAGAUAUACUACAUGAAACGUUGCAGUGUUACAACAAAAAUAAAAUCAUAUUUGAGAACCUAAGAAAUGUAUCCCAAAUUGUUAUAAAAUUAUAUCAUGAAGAUACAUGCGAACUUCAGAGUGACGUCUGACACGGAGAUGCAGAGAAUAGAAGACUAAAGUUUCAACUAAAUGGUUAUAACAUGAUAUAGAGUGUAAGGUUGAGUUUCAGUCCAAAAGUAAAUUGUACCUGCAUGAGUAGCAAAAACAAACUGAGAACCAGCAACGAAAUCAAUAAAAGUGGAUAAAAGAGAAUAAGGAAAAAUUAAAAAUUGAUUCAGAUUGUUAGAAGAAAGUCUAUCAUUUCAAGAGUGCAACAUCCCUCACAAAUGAACCUCCACCUUCAUCAAUAGAUAACCUUAACAACCGUUGCACCAAGAUCAAAUAUCUUCAUAAAAUCUUAUAGAACUACAAGUACAACACUGAUUCACUUAUUCAAGCAACCUCCUUGUGGAGAAACCAGAAACACAUCUCCUUCAAGGUGUUCAACUUUAAUACCACGUUUCCCUAACAUUUCAAUAUUUUCUUUAAAACAUGUCUUAGAACCAUACAACAACAUAUUUAAAAUUACCAAUUUCAAUCUAUCAUUUUCACAAAGGCUUUGCGCGGAUGAAUCUUUACUUUUUUCUGUAACUUCAAUCCAUCUACUAGAGCACUAGCAGCAAACAGUUUUUUCACCAGUUGAAAUAGCCAUUGUCUAAUAAAUUCACAAGUUUAAUUUCUUUUAGCAAACAUAACUAUCACUCGUAUUUAAAAGAAGCUACAUGAACCUGAUAAUCACCGUAGACUAGCAAGCUCAGUUUAGCACCUCACCUAAUGUCAAUUGGUAACAAAGUACAAUAAUCAUGUUAAUUAAAGCUUCCUUUUAGUACGUAAAGGAGUGUUUAGUAGCAAUAUUUGACAUGGGUAUAAUAAUAUUAAGAAGCUCACUAUAAAAUAAACACCCAAUUUUAGCAAAAAUGUGGAUAACAUGUAUCCAUCAACAAAAUGAAGAGCAACAAUGAAAAUACAUACCAAAAAUCACUCAUUGCCCCCAUAAAUGAAAUGAAUCAAAACCCACAAGCAUUAACAACAAAAUCCAGCAAGUCUAAAAUAGUGAGUGGAAGAAAGGAACUCUAACCGAUGAUUGGAACACUUCAUCUCUUAAGCAAGUCGUAAAGAUAAUCAAAUCUUGCAUUCAAGAAACAAAAUUGUCAGCACACACAUAUACAAGCAUAGCUGAAGCAGAUAAAGAGAAUAGAAUUAUGGGAAUCNAAACUUACGAAUUUCAAGCUAAUACUCCUGGAAGCACCUCGGACCACAAUGAAACAACUCCUUCCCAUCUCACUGCGGAAGCUGAAAUGAAUAACACGUGAGCUCUUCUUCACAAAACGGCUCAGAGAUAUGGCCUCGCCAUAAAAAUAACUUGUUGAAUCACAAUAUGCCAACUCAAUCGCACAGAUCCGACUUCAGUUGGUGAUGGAAAAAAUUAUCCAAAAUAACUUAGCAAAAUUGAAUAAUCUGUAGAAUAGUCGUGAACAGAUUGAUGAUGGAAAUCGUCAUUUUGAACAAUAAAAUCAAGAACAGAUUUAGAUGAAAUACUAGAACUGAUUGUCAAAGUGAUGAGGGUUUGGGGAUUUUGAGAGAAACGUUGAGAGACGGGGAGUAAACCCUAGUUCCUAAAUGACGACUUGGGGAAUGUUUUUAAGUGUUUCUAUUUCUUUAUUUCUUUUUCUAGGUUUCUAUCUCUUUAUAAUUAUAAAAAUAUUAAAAUUUUAGAAGAAAAUUUUGGGCGGCACCUCAAGUCUCGCACUCCCGCUCUGUUAUGCAUAUUAGGGACGAGAGUUUUAUAAUAAUAGGGAUGAGAUUCAGUCCCGUCAUUAUUUAAUUUAGAAUUAGGUACCAAAAAUAAAACUAGUCAUUAUAAGUAUACUUUUAGCGACUAGAUUUCAAUCCCGCCGCUAAAUAUUGGUCACUAAUGAGCCUUUUUCUUGUAGUAGUGUGUUUUAAUAACUACAAGUAUUUAGAUAAAACUCUAUGGAGUGCAGGAAUCAGGAUGACAAACCGAAAUAAGUACAGGGUCUACUAGGCUAUUCUGCCCCAAAAGAAAUGUGAAAUAAUGUAUACCUUAACCGUGCUUAGAAGACUCGUUUGGUUUAAGUUAUUCAGCUUUCAAAGCAAACUUUUAUUUUUGAAAAAACUGGACCCAAAUUGCAUGUGUUGCUUAUCUUUACCAAAAAAAGAAUUCAGCUGUUAAGUUUGCCUAAGCGAUUCGAUCGAAAACCUUUUCCAAAUCUUUUUCGUUUAACUUGAUUUGGUUCUGCAAAUGCCUUUAACUGAAAAAGUUGUUAGACAAACAAGUGGACUAAAGAGACCUUUAUUGAUAAAAAGUUGAUAUAUACCCAAAUUUGGAGAUUAUUAACCUUAUAAAAUGAAAGAUUAUCUUAACCAUGUUUACCUAUACCCUACGAGAUUUUGAUUAUCGUAAGAUCGUUGAUUCUAAACAACCAGAGCAAAGAACAAAGCACAUAAUAUCAGUGUUAGUUUUGCAAUUCAAUAUAUACAGAAGUGGGCUAAGAAUAACGGUAAUAUAAAAUAGAGUGGAUAUCUAGACUCUAUGAUAGGAUGACAAGUAUUCAGGCCCAUUUCAAAAUAAUAAACGUCAGAGUUUAGCAACAGUGACGCUAUAAGGAGAGUAGGCAGCUUAGCUCAGUGAUCUUGGGUCAGAGUUCACAAUGAACUUCGCUGGCCCAGUGUAUUCAUGCAAAAGAAGAAGAAAGACUUAAUUAGUACUUGCAUUUAAGAAGUAAAAGCAGAAACAUAAAAAAGUACACAAUUAUAACCUAAAGUAAACAAAGCAAGUUAAGUUUGUUUGUGAUAACCCUCUAGAUGUUAAUCAAAGCCAAUAACUAUUCGCUUUCAAAUAACAAACAUGUCUUUUACACUUAGUAAGUCUAAAUUAUCAGGAACUAGAACUACGGGAAACUAAGCUAGCUUCAGGAGAAUAGUUCAUGAUUAAACUUAAUUGGAUAUCAAACAGCCUAGGCUAAGUAUUCUUAGACUUAAAACUAACUUCACAAAGGUCAUAUUAACAGAGAACAACAAGAGCUAUCAAACAAGGUAAGAUGAUCAGCAAAAACGCAUAAGCAUGGCAACUAUAACAAGGCAGUAUAUGGUAAGAAAGAAUGGCAUUUUGCAGUUAAAGCUAACAAACAAUCUAGAUCAAUAGUGUUUUAACUAACACGCAAGGCAGUGUAAAAUUCACCAGGUUAUCAUGACCUUAUACUAGUAAAUCUUAUAAACAUAGUAUCCACAACAAUAUAACAGUCUCAUAGUGACAAGAAGUACCAUCUUACAGCUAAUAUUAACAAGUAAGCAAAUGACUUCAAAUUAAAAGAGGUCUACCCAAACACAGCAAGAUCAAUAUUAAAGCUAUGAAAUAUAAUCAUGCUAAGUAAACCAAUCUCACAACAUGCCUCAUACUCAUAUUCAUGCUAACAAGUUAAGAAAAGCAUGACUGUCAAUAUAAGACUCAACACACAUUAUACUAAUCAAGCAUAAUAACUAUACAUAAGAAGCUAUAAACAAAAUUCAAUCAUUGAAACGAAUUGAAUGAAGGUGCACUGACCUUCCUUAGGGUAGAAAACUAGGUUCUUCACUUUAGCCGUUGAGAAUUAAUACCCGCAGUCAGCUUAAGAACAGAUAACCUCGACUAGAAUUGAAAGAGAGAAAAAGAAGAAAUGAUUUUGAGUAAUAGAUAAAGAUUUUUAUACUUUAGUAUAGUUGCAUUUUCUUCUACUUGUUCAUUGUUAGGUGAAGGCAUUAAAGCCGGUAUUUACAGCCCAAAGAUUGGGGCUUAGAGUUUGAGAUUUG
rnacentral:lncRNA from 1 species